rnacentral:antisense_RNA from 1 species
AAAACUGAAACAGGCUCCAGGAACAGACCAUCCAGGGAAGAGAGUGGGGGCUCUGCCACUUAGCAGCUGUGGGGCUCUGGGCAAGUCACUUAAUCGCCCUGUGCCUAGUUUACUCAUGUGUAAAAUGGGGGUGCUCCCUGCACCUACCUCCUCCAGUCCUUCUGUGAGUGAAGGAGCUGAUGCUUGGAAGCGGCCUAGACCAGAGCCUGAGCUGGGGCGAGCCAAGGAAGACAAUGGGGACCUUUCAGAGCGGAGGAGUCAGCAUGAGUCCCGUGGGAGAACAGUAAUCAUAGUGAAAACAACAGCAGCAUCAUUUGCUAGUUCCUGAAAGCGACUGCCUGCCCAGCUUGGCAGAACAUUGCUUCGUUCAGCCUCACAGCAGACCCUACAAGGGAGGCAUCAUGGGCCCAUUUUAUAGACAAGGAAACUGAGACCAUGCAAAGGAAUUGCUUGCCCAGGGUCACACUGCAAUUAAGCAGAGAAGCCAGCAUUCCAUCCGACGCCUGCCAAUUAAGGGGGUCACAGUCCCCAGGAGAAAUAAACU